rnacentral:rRNA from 1 species
UACGGAGGGUGCAAGCGUUAUCCGGAUUCGCUGGGUUUAAAGGGUGCGUAGGCGGACAUAUAAGUCAGGGGUGAAAUCCUGCAGCUUAACUGCAGAACUGCCUUUGAUACUAUCUGUCUUGAAUGUCGUGGAGGUUAGCGGAAUAUGUCAUGUAGCGGUGAAAUGCUUAGAUAUGACAUAGAACACCUAUUGCGAAGGCAGCUAACUACGCGAAUAUUGACGCUGAGGCACGAAAGCGUGGGGAUCAAACAGG